GUCGUAACAAGGUUUCCGUAGGUGAACCUGCGGAAGGAUCAUUAUCAAUGAUAUCCAUCAUACACCGUGAACCGCCCGCCUCCCUGGGCAACCUGGGGUCGGGCAUUAAACUCUAUACCUUAUAGCAGAGUCAAUUAGUAACACUAAUACGACAACUUUUAGCAACGGAUCUCUAGGUUCUCGCAACGAUGAAGAACGCAGCGAAUUGCGAAAAGUAAUGUGAAUUGCAUAAUUCCGUGAAUCAUCAAAUCUUUGAACGCACCUUGCGCUUGCGGGAAUUCCUGCAAGCAUGCCUGUUUGAGUAUCAGUUUACAAACUCCCCAAGGAUUUGUUCUUGGGGGACUUGGGCCCGUGGAGAACAUUUGUUUCCUCCCACCCGCCUUAAAUACAAGAGUGCUUGUCCAAAGCGCAAAUAGAGCCAGUCCGAAAGGAAUGUCUAUUGGCGACGCGAGCAGCCCCUCUGAACGGAUUUAUCCAACCAAACCCAUGAUCUCAAAUCAAGCAAGACAACCCGCUGAACUUAAGCAUAUUAAUAAGCGGAGGAAAAGAAACUAACAAGGAUUCCCCUAGUAACGGCGAGUGAGGCGGGAACAGCUCAAAUUUAAAAUCUCCUCGGAGAAUUGUAGUUUAUAAAAGCGUUAUCGAGGCCGGCCUAGGUACAAGUUCUUUGGAACAAGGCAUCAUAGAGGGUGAGAAUCCCGUCUUUGACCUAGGUACCGGCCCACUACGAUGCGUCUUUCAAGAGUCGGGUUGUUUGGGAAUGCAGCCCUAAAUUGGUGGUAUAUUUCAUCUAAAGCUAAAUAUUGGCGAGAGACCGAUAGCGAACAAGUACCGUGAGGGAAAGAUGAAAAGAACUUUGAAAAGAGAGUUAAAAGUACGUGAAAUUGCUAAAAGGGAAACAUUUGACACCAGUAUUUGGGAGUCGAAAAUCAACCUCGGUAUCGCCGGGGUGCACUUUUCGGCUCUCAGGUCAACGUCCGUUUUGUCUGCCGUAAAAAAGCCAAGAGAAGGUAGGUGCUUGCACUGUUAUAGCUCUGGCCGAUGCGGUGGACGGGACGGAGGACUGCGGUACAUGCCCUCGGGCUGGGUUUGCGGCAGCCGUGUGGGCGCGAUGUGCGGACAGCUUGCUGACCGUAUGCCGCUCCCCAUGCGCCCUGCUGUAGGACCACAAAUGUACCUAGGACGUUGACGAAAUGGUUUUAAAUGACC
rnacentral:rRNA from 1 species